GAUGAACGCUGGCGGCGUGCCUAAUACAUGCAAGUCGAGCGAACAGACGAGGAGCUUGCUCCUCUGACGUUAGCGGCGGACGGGUGAGUAACACGUGGAUAACCUACCUAUAAGACUGGGAUAACUUCGGGAAACCGGAGCUAAUACCGGAUAAUAUAUUGAACCGCAUGGUUCAAUAGUGAAAGACGGUUUUGCUGUCACUUAUAGAUGGAUCCGCGCCGCAUUAGCUAGUUGGUAAGGUGACGGCUUACCAAGGCAACGAUGCGUAGCCGACCUGAGAGGGUGAUCGGCCACACUGGAACUGAGACACGGUCCAGACUCCUACGGGAGGCAGCAGUAGGGAAUCUUCCGCAAUGGGCGAAAGCUUGACGGAGCAACGCCGCGUGAGUGAUGAAGGUCUUCGGAUCGUAAAACUCUGUUAUUAGGGAAGAACAAAUGUGUAAGUAACUAUGCACGUCUUGACGGUACCUAAUCAGAAAACCACGGCUAACUACGU
rnacentral:rRNA from 1 species